GUCGUCCAAUCGACUGACUUAUAUUCCAACUGGACUUUUCCGGUCGCAGACUGGGCUCCGAUAUCUCUACUUACAGCGGAACCAAAUCAGUGUCCUGCAUGAUAAGGUGUUUGCGGGACUUCGCUCGCUGAAAGAACUGAUGAUAUUUGACAACCCAAUCACCGAGUUAGUGGACUGGCUGUUUUAUGAGACCAAACUGACACACCUGUACAUAUUCCAGACUCAACUUUCGUCGAUAGGGGAGCGGCCAUUUGCGACAAUGAACCACACUC